rnacentral:rRNA from 1 species
AGUGAACGCUGGCGGUAGGCCUAACACAUGCAAGUCGAACGGCAGCUCAGUAAGAGCUUGCUCUUACGGGUGGCGAGUGGCGGACGAGUGAGGAAUACAUCGGAAUCUACUUUUUCGUGGGGGAUAACGUAGGGAAACUUACGCUAAUACCGCAUACGACCUACGGGUGAAAGCAGGGGAUCUUCGGACCUUGCGCGAUUGAAUGAGCCGAUGUCGGAUUAGCUAGUUGGCGGGGUAAAGGCCCACCAAGGCGACGAUCCGUAGCUGGUCUGAGAGGAUGAUCAGCCACACUGGAACUGAGACACGGUCCAGACUCCUACGGGAGGCAGCAGUGGGGAAUAUUGGACAAUGGGCGCAAGCCUGAUCCAGCCAUACCGCGUGGGUGAAGAAGGCCUUCGGGUUGUAAAGCCCUUUUGUUGGGAAAGAAAAGCAGCAGGUUAAUACCCCGCUGUUCUGACGGUACCCAAAGAAUAAGCACCGGCUAACUUCGUG